UUCCGGUUGAUCCUGCCAGAGGUCACUGCUANNGGGGUUCGAUUAAGCCAUGCGAGUCGAGAGGGUUCGGCCCUCGGCGUACUGCUCAGUAACACGUGGAUAACCUGCCCUAGGGGAGGGGAUAGCCCCGGGAAACUGGGGAUAAUACCCUAUAGGUUACAGAUGCUGGAAUGCCCUGUAACCAAAAGCUCCGGCGCCCUAGGAUGGAUCUGCGGCCGAUUAGGUUGUUGUUGGGGUAACGGCCCAACAAGCCCGUAAUCGGUACGGGUUGUGGGAGCAAGAGCCCGGAGUUGGAUUCUGAGACACGAAUCCAGGCCCUACGGGGCGCAGCAGGCGCGAAACCUUUGCAAUGCGGGCAACCGUGAUAAGGGAACCUCGAGUGCCUGUAAACGCAGGCUGUUCAGGUGUUUAAAACGCACCUGGAGAAAGGGCCGGGCAAGACCGGUGCCAGCCGCCGCGGUAAUACCGGCGGCUCGAGUGGUGGCCGCUUUUAUUGGGCUUAAAGCGUUCGUAGCUGGGUUGUUAAGUCUCUUGGGAAAUCUGGCGGCUUAACCGUCAGGCGUCUAAGGGAUACUGGCAAUCUUGGAACCGGGAGAGGUGAGGGGUACUUCGGGGGUAGGGGUGAAAUCCUGUAAUCCUCGAGGGACCACCUGUGGCGAAGGCGCCUCACCAGAACGGCUUCGACAGUGAGGGACGAAGCUGGGGGAGCAAACCGGAUUAGAUACCCGGGUAGUCCCAGCCGUAACGAUGCGCGUUAGUGUAUCGGUGACACGAGUUACCGAG
rnacentral:rRNA from 1 species